GGAAAUUGUUUAGUUUGGUUGUGUACUUUUUGAUAUGCUGUAUAUCUUGUUUAUGACUACUUUUGUUACGUUUGUAAUUGUAAAUUGUAAUUUUCAUGUUGUAAGCUGCCUUGAGCAUGGUUUUAGUGGAAAGGCGGGAUACAAAUAAGAUGAUGGUGAUGAUGAUGAAGAACCAUUAUCAGUCACACUUAUCUGUGUGGCUGCUGCUGAUUCAGAUCAUACCCACUGGUCUAUGCAGGAGUAUCAGUUUAGAUUUGUGGACAAAUAACACAAUACAUUUAUUUGAUGCACAACCAUUGCAAGUAUAUUUGUGGAGAAAGUCAUACACCAAGGCCUGGGUCCAAAGAACAGAAUGCUCAAGGGAGAUUUGGCCUUUGCCUUUUUCUCAAUAGCAGCUCCACCAUGCUACAUAGUAGACAGUACUACUCUUGAACUUAUCAUCAUCUCAAGGCAAGAGUCUGGUUGAAAUGACUAAGCAUUGCUCUUUUCCACUAUUCUAUAAUCCUGUGGGUGGUAUUCAAUGGCACUUUUGUGCUAGUGCAAGACUUAGGGGGUUGGGGGAACUUCCAGAACAGAUUCAGCUGGCACAUGGGGGAAGGAGAGGGGGAGAUUGUUCCACUGCACAAGGAAAAAUACAACUCUAUGGCUUGACAACCAUAUGUCAGGAGUGCUCUGAUGGUGUUUCCUGCUUGGCAGGGGGUUGGACUCGAUGGCCCUUGUGGUCUCUUCCAACUCUAUGAUUCUAUGAUUCUAUUCUAUGAUUCUAUGAUUCUAACUCUAAACUUCCUAUUCUUUGAAUAGCACAUUGUGAUCAAAUAAUGGUCUAGAACAGAUCAGGGAUGGGAAACUCAUGGCACUAUAGAUGUUGUGGGACUUGACUGGCCGCCAACCCCAGCCAGCAUAGCUAAUGAUCAGGGAUGAUGGGAACUGUAGUCUAGCACCAUCUGAAGGACCACAGGUUCCCCACGCCUACCUCAAAGACUGGAAAGCCACACUCUUUUUAGGAGCUGAUUCUGAGGCUAAUGAAUUAAAUUCAUGUGAGGGAUAAGCACAGCAGAUUCCACUCCUGAACCAUGCAUAUUGAUUAGAACAUCUGGAGAGAGUCUGUCAUGUGUACAGCUGCUUGAAUGGGGACUCUUUAGAAAUUCUAAUAAACGUGUAUAGACUGGGGGCAGAGCCUGCAGCCAAGAUGCCUUUUUGCAGACAUGUGUGUUCAUUCCUGGAAUGUAUACAUGAAACGAGUUUAUGAGUGCUGAAGAGUAAGAGCGCUGGAACAGAAAGCUCUAAUGGACUUUGUAGCAGUGGGGUGGAAUCAGUUGGUUCAGCCCAUACUAAUUCUAGAGUGGUUUUAGGUAUCUCCAUCCAACAUUAACUGAAGAUUACAUAGGUACUUCUUGAAUCUGUUGAUUCUCUCUUUCACUUCCAGUCUUUGCUUUCAUUUUAAAGACCAAAAUUAUUAUUAUUGCUCAUCAAAGUUUAAAUGCUUAUCGUCUUUCAGUGCUUUCCCCUCUAUUUUUUGUUUUCUUGGCAAUCCUUAUAACUAUAAAAAUAGCUAAGUUCUGGGCAGCACACACUGUGUUGAACCAUUUAUGAAUACAGAUUACUAUGCUGCUGGCCAACUGAAAAACAUAUUCUUUGAUUACUUACGUAGCUUUUUUUUUUUUUGUAAUUCAGUUUAUUUGGAUUUGUCACUAUUUACAAAAAGCUACAUGGAUACAAAUUUCAACAAACACCCCUACUCCCAAGCAUGACAUUUAAGUCCUUUCACAUUCAUACAAACCCUGUAACUUGCAACUAAUGUUAUGAAUUGAUUGUAUUUAUGUGUCAAUCUAAUCCACGCAAAUUUAUGGCUAUCAGUGUCUGUGUACACACCAGGGAAUGAAGGGGUUACACAGAUCCAUUUUUUCUGUUUGCAUUUUUGUCUACACAUGAGCACUGUUUCAAGUCCACAAUAGUUGGUAGUGUUUGCUGGGAUGCAUUUGAACAUGGGAAGCUGUCUUACACCAAGUCAGACCACUGAUCCAUCUAGUUCAGUAUUAUCUACACUGACUGGCAGCAGCUCUCCAAUGUUUCUGGCUGGUGUGUCUCCUACCUGGAAAUGCAAGGGAUUAUACCUGGGACCUCUUGUAUGCAAAGCAGAUGCUCGUCCACUGAGUUGUCACCCUUCCCACUCUGUGUUGUUGUCCCCUCCCCUCAGUUAGUACUUCCUUGCACACACACCCCUGAAUUCCAGAAAACUGAGGUCCAUGGUGGGCAUGCAUGCAGAUAUUUGUCAUUGCCAUGUUUCUUUUGAAAUACAAGUUUUCUGAUAUGCCAGAUUUUCACAAAAUGGUCGGUUAAAAAGAAUGUUAAAAAAUGUGUGUCCUACCCAGUUCCACCAGUAGUUCACCAAGGAAUACCUUCCCAGUGGAAGCAGGGGGUAUGGUGAUGGAUGACACAGCAAAACCUCACCACACAUAUAAAAAAAUUCCACCCAUAAUACACUUCAGUGUGUCCACAGUCAGGUAACAUGCAAUUUUCUGUUGGAUUCCACCCCCUCCCUAUGAUUUUAUCCAUGGAUUGGGAAGAUUUGAAUUACCGGUAAAUGCAGACUGUCACUUGGAUGGAACAAUGUCAUGUGGAUGAUGAAAAAAAACCAUGCACACAUGGGAUGCAUUGAAUCUGUGUGCACACAGUGUGUACACAGCCCAUAAACAGAGAAAGGAUUCUAGUUUUCCAAUAAUUUUGUCACCCUUCUGAUAAAAUCCACAUGCAAUGUGUACUAAAUCAGUUUUCUGUAUCACAGUAUUGCCCCUUCAUUUUUACCUCCACUGAGAAAUAGAAGGUGUCUAACUAUCUCUCCAGGAUUCAACAACACACAGUUUUGCCAUUCACAGAUUAAUUAUCUCUUUGCAGCUAAUAAACCACAUUAUCCCAUUCUCCAUUUAACAAGAUCCAUCAGGGAUUACGUAGAAUAUUAUGUUCUCUCAAGGUUCCAAAACAUAAGAAGAGCCUUGCUGGCAUUCUAUUUUCCACACUGGUUAAUGGAUGCCUAUGGGAAGGCCACAAGUAGGAAAUGAGUACAGCACACUCAUCCUACUUGUGUUCUCCAGCAACUGAUAUUCAGAGGUAUGCUGACUCUUAUGCUGCAGGUAGUAUAUAGCCAUUGUGGUUAGUUAUGACUCCAUGAAUUUGUGUAAUUCCCUUUCUAAAGGUUUUAGGUAAAUCUCCUUUAAAGUUUGUGGCCGGCUAAGUUGAGGGAGCAAAUUCUAUGGGUUGCUGUGUGAAGAGCUACUCUUGUCUGUCCUUAAUGUUCCCCUACUCAGCUUCAUUUGGACAAUUCUGGAUGCUUAUACUAAAAGAGAGGAGGAAAAUAUUCUCUCUAUCCACUUUCUUCAUGCCAUCCAUAAUUUUAUAUACCAUGUCCACCACCCCUUAAACUAAAUAACUGCAAGCGCUGUAAAUUUUUACCACAGAGAAGUUGCACCACUCUUCCGGAUAAGUCUGGAGUUUUGUUGUACCCUUUUGAGCUCUUCAAUAGCUUUUUUGAUACACGAUAUUUGAAGUGUGGUUGAACUAUAGAUUUGUAGGUAGACGUUACCAUAUAGAUUUUUUAAAAUAUUCAGUUCCUUUCGUAAUGAUCUUUAGUGUGGAAUUCACCUAUUUCACAGGUGCCAUACAUUCUCUCAACAGUUUCAUUGAGCUAUGAACAUCUCUUUCCUGAUAUAAUCAUCAUGUAUGCUCAAACUAACCUCUCUCCUCACAAUCUUUCCAGCACAACCCCUUUACCUCUUUUGCACAUGUGUUUGAUUUGAACUAAUAUGGUUAGGUACCGGUAGGUAAAGGUAAAGGACCCCUGGAUGGUUAAGUCCAGUCAAAGGCGACUAUGGGGUGCAGUGCUCAUCUCACUUCAGGCCAAGGGAGCUGGCGUUUGUCCACAGACAGCAUUCCAGGUCAUGUGGCCAGCAUGACUAAACUGCUUCUGGUGCAAUGGGACACCAUGAUGGAAGCCAGAGCACAUGGAAACACCGUUUUCCUUCCUGCCACAGUGAUACCUAUUUCUCUACUUGCUCUGGUAUGCUUUUGAACUGCUAGGCUUGCAGAAGCUGGCACAGGGCAAUGGGAGCUCACCCCAUUGCAUGGAUUCGAAUUGCCAACUUUCCAAUCAGCAACUGCAAGAGGCUCAGUGGUUUAGACCACAGAGCCACCCACAUCCCUUUGCACUAAUACGAUACACUGUUUAUUCAUAAUCCUACAGGAGAUCUUCAAGGAAGCACCUUCAAAAUGCUUCCCAAAACUGUCCAACAUUUCACCUAGUGUUGUUACCACAUGAUGGGUGGUGGUGCAGGGAUGAGUGCACUAGUUAUGCCUAUCCCCAUCACAGUUCUCAUUACUUUCCAACACAUGAAGCACAAAGUCUUUUGUACUUUUGGAAGCUCCCCCUGCAUUUUAGAACCCUGACUUUCUAGGGUUCCAAAACAGGUGGUGAGCCUCUGCAAGUCCAGUAGGCUUUGUUCCUGAGAAGUUUACCCUUCAUGAGUUGGUGGAGGGUGGUGUGGGGAGGGAGUGCUAGUGCACUUAUCUCCACUGACCACUUUUGGAUGGUAACUUAACACUUAUAAUGCCUGAAAAGUGCAAGAAAUGUUGUACGUUCUGAAACCUCUCUGACCAUCAGCAUUUAUGAACCUCAUGAAUAAAACUUUGAGCAUUCACAUAAUCUAAUACAAUUUGGGUGUCUGUUGGCAGAUAUGUUUGCUGUUAAAAUGUAGUCUUCAGAACUGAUACUUUAUUAUGAGCUAUUAUUGUCAACCAUGUUUGAAUAGUUUACACAUGAGUUCUAAAUCAGUUCCGCUUGUGGAUCUCAUGAAUUAUUGGGCAAGAUAUAUUAAUGUCAUGUGUUCUCAUGCUUGUAUGUCCUGAUAGGUUCAUGAUACACUUCUUGCGCUCUGGGCAGGAUUUCUCCAGUUUGUAGUGUAGCCACUGUAGUCCCUUCCACACCUCCCUUUUGCAUGUAUUCUGAAUGCAUGAAGUGGAACGGGGAUCAAGGAGUCUCUACAGCCAGCUGUGGGAGGGGGGCAAUUUGAGAACUCUAUACAAACUGGUGCUAGACUGAAACGGCCUCCGUUUGUCACUCAUAUUCAUGGUGGAGUAGUAAUACUCUGAGAGUAGUAGUAGUAAAGAAGAGAUGCUUGUUAUGUGCAGUUCCCUCUUGCCCCCCCCUUUUACUGUAUUAAAAAAGCAGCUUUAUUAUUCUUGCUUUUAAAUGUAUAAAACUGCCACCAGUAUUGCUAUUUUCCUCUCCCCCAAAGCUUCUGGAAUGACAGUUCACCGCUCUGCUUUCUAGAGAGGAAGUCAUUCUACCUUCUGUGGUAGAUAAUGACAACCUCAUAAUGGUGAGGCAGGUCCUACUGUGUUAAUCUCCACAUGAACAAAUACUGGUGAAAAAUGGAUAACCUCUUCCCCCAACCUCAACAGAUGGCACAGGUUUAGAUUUACAUAAUAUUUUUGUUAAAUGAUUCAUUUUUCUACAAUGGACUGAUCAAGAAAAUACUGAUUUUAUAGUUUUGCCCAUGUUGAUUAGAACCAUUGUGUUAAGUGGGGUGAUAAAAAGAAUUGAAAAAUUAUUUUUUUUUAAAAAAAGCAUCAAUACAAUUAUGUCUUCAUAAGUGUCAUCACAUGCUGCCUAAUGUAAUGAACUGUCAGAGUAACCAGGCUUCUUGUGUAUAUGCCAGUUCCCUUUAUGUUGCCGUAGUUGAUGUUAGUGUAUAAAUGAAUGUUGUGGUGUGUCAACUGUACAUCCAAGAUGUCUGAUGUUAUCACUCAUCUGGGUAAAUGUGCAGGCAGACGUGUGGAAUGAGUAGGAAAAGACUGAAAAGACUGAAAGUUAAUAAUGCUCUUUUAAUUUCUAUGACCACAUUCCUUUUUUAAACUUCACCAAAGUGUCCAUGUAUGCUUGGCAGGACUUCUCUUUUUUGUUUGAAACAGUAGUCCUUUGUCUUCUAUAUGCACCUUCAUGGGUGGGUGCUGUGGAGACUGUCUAAGCUGCCUUGAAGCCAAGACCAUCCUGCUGCCACCACCUCUCAGUUCAACCUAACUGUUGAGCAAGAGGAAUUCACAAGAGCUAUGGCUCAAUUUUCAGUCUGUGAGGGGUCAACAGCCUGCUAUCUCUCCUGCUAGCUGGGUGAGUUCCAUCUGUUUUCCCUUUAACCCUCCUCUAGGUCUAAGCAUGAUGGCAUAACAGUACAGACCAGCAUUCCGGAGAAAGAUAUUUCAAUUCAUACUGUCAGAUCCUAGGUUCCAAUUUUUUAAAAAAACCAAACAAAAACAAACAAACAAAACUAAAAAACCCUAUUGGGAUUAGGGGUGGAGAUAUUAAGGAAAAACAAGUAGC
rnacentral:lncRNA from 1 species